rnacentral:pre_miRNA from 1 species
CGCGAUCAACGGUUGAAGCUGCCAGCAUGAUCUGAGCUUUCUUGUCUCUCGUCGUGGUUGUUAGGAAAGAAUAGAUCAUCUGGCAGUUUCACCUGUUGAUGGC